GGGGAGCUGGCGCAGCGGUAGCGCGUCAGAUUCCAGAUCUGAAGGGUCCUGGUAAAUCCGGUGUUCCUCA
rnacentral:tRNA from 1 species